GGGGGGAGGCCGGAUCCUGGGCUGUGUCCCGGCGCCCUGUGCUCCGGGGCCUGCGCUGUUGGAUUCGCACUCCCAGCUGCGCUGCUGCCU
rnacentral:pre_miRNA from 1 species